GCUUAACACAUGCAAGUCGAGGGGUAUAUGUCUUCGGAUAUAGAGACCCGGCGCACGGGUGCGUAACGCGUAUGCAAUCUACCUUUUACAGAGGGAUAGCCCAGAGAAAUUUGGAUUAAUACCUCAUAGUAUAGCUCUACCGCAUGGUAGUACUAUUAAAGUCACAACGGUAAAAGAUGAGCAUGCGUCCCAUUAGCUAGUUGGUAAGGUAACGGCUUACCAAGGCAACGAUGGGUAGGGGUCCUGAGAGGGAGAUCCCCCACACUGGUACUGAGACACGGACCAGACUCCUACGGGAGGCAGCAGUGAGGAAUAUUGGACAAUGGGCGCAAGCCUGAUCCAGCCAUGCCGCGUGCAGGAUGACGGUCCUAUGGAUUGUAAACUGCUUUUGUACGAGAAGAAACACUGCUUCGUGAAGCAGCUUGACGGUAUCGUAAGAAUAAGGAUCGGCUAACUCCGUGCCAGCAGCCGCGGUAAUACGGAGGAUCCAAGCGUUAUCCGGAAUCAUUGGGUUUAAAGGGUCCGUAGGCGGUUUAGUAAGUCAGUGGUGAAAGCCCAUCGCUCAACGGUGGAACGGCCAUUGAUACUGCUGAACUUGAAUUAUUAGGAAGUAACUAGAAUAUGUAGUGUAGCCGGUGAAAUGCUUAGAGAUUACAUGGAUACCAAUUGCGAAGGCAGGUUACUACUAAUUGA
rnacentral:rRNA from 1 species